rnacentral:rRNA from 1 species
AGAGUUUGAUCCUGGCUCAGAACGAACGCUGGCGGCGUGCUUAACACAUGCAAGUCGAGUGCGCGUACCGUAGCAAUACGGUAUGGCGCACGGCGCACGGGUGCGUAACACGUGGGUAACCUGCCCUUUGAUGGGGAAUAACCUCGCGAAAGCGAGGCUAAUUCCGCAUAAGAUCCGCAAGGAUGAAAGCCGUAAGGCGUCGAAGGAGGGGCCCGCGCACGAUUAGCUAGUUGGUAGGGUAAUGGCCUACCAAGGCUUUGAUCGUUAGCUGGUCUGAGAGGAUGGCCAGCCACACUGGAACUGAGACACGGUCCAGACUCCUACGGGAGGCAGCAGUGGGGAAUCUUGCACAAUGGGCGAAAGCCUGAUGCAGCGACGCCGCGUGGGGGAUGAAGCUUCUCGGAGUGUAAACCCCUUUCGACCCGGACGAAUACCUCGCAAGAGGGGUGACGGUACGGGUAUAAGAAGCCCCGGCUAACUACGUGCCAGCAGCCGCGGUAAGACGUAGGGGGCCAGCGUUGUUCGGAAUUACUGGGUGUAAAGGGUCAGUAGGCGGUGUGGCAAGUUGGGAGUGAAAUCUAUGGGCUCAACCCAUAGGCUGCUUCCAAAACUGCUGUGCUAGAGUGUGGGAGAGGCGCGUGGAAUUGCAGGUGUAGCGGUGAAAUGCGUAGAUAUCUGCAGGAACACCCGUGGCGAAAGCGGCGCGCUGGACCACAACUGACGCUGAAUGACGAAAGCUAGGGGAGCAAACAGGAUUAGAUACCCUAGUAGUCC